AUAAAAAGUACCGACAGAUUACUCUGUACAAAGAAAAUGGAGAAAAGAAGAAGAAAGAGCCAAUGAAAGAAAAUUCACAUAAGGGCUUGGUGAUGCUGCUGUUUUCUUGAAACAUGGCAUCAAUCAAUGAAAUUUUCGGAUUACCCAUAUUGCCCUCCUUCAAAACGGAACAGAAGCUGCUCUGUACUCUCUCAAUUACAGCACAAAGUACAACAAUACCAAUGCUCCAUAUACUUGUGGUUCCUCUUCCUCUCCAAGGCCACAUAAACCCAAUGUUCCAAUUCUCAAAACGCUUAGCAUCCAAAGGUUUAAGGGUGACACUUGUCACCGUCUCCUCUGACACUCAUCAUGAGCCCAUAGAAACCCAAUUGAGCUUGGUCAAGAUUGAGUCAAUUUAUGCUGCAUCUGAAGAAGCAGACAAGGUUAAUGCAGAGAACAAGAUGCAGUGGCUCCAAAACAUUUUGUCAAAAAGAUUACCAGAGCUGAUUUCAAAGCAAGAGAGCAUUGGGUACCCAAUUAGCUGCAUUGUCUAUGACUCAGCCAUGACAUGGGCUCUGGACAUGGCCAAAGGGCUAGGCAUUGCUGGGGCUUCAUUUUUCACUCACUCUUGUGCUGUUGGAACUGUGUACUGUAAUGUGCACCAAGGGGUGCUCAGUGUUCCUCUGAAAGAGGGUCCAAUUUUACUACCUGGGUUGCCACCACUUGAGCCUCAUGACCUGCCCUCUUUCAUCUCUGAUCCAGGCUCCUACCCCUCCUUUUUAAAGUUGGUGGUUGGCAGGUUUUCAAAUAUCACUGAUGCUGAUUGGAUCUUCUGGAACAGUUUUGAUUGCUUGGAACAAGAGGUGGUGAGCUGGAUGAGAACAAGAUGGCCAAUCAAGACAAUAGGGCCAACCCUUCCAUCAAUGUACCUAGACAAAAGGUUAGAAGAUGACAGAGACUAUGGCUUCAACCUUUUCACACCCAACAUUGACACUUGCAUCAAGUGGUUAGAAUCAAACGAUACAGGCACAGUGGUGUAUGUAUCGUUUGGAAGCAUGGCUAACCUAGGAGACGAGCAGAUGGAGGAGCUUGCAUUGGGCCUAAAAAGGAGCAAAACCAACUUCUUGUGGGUAGUCAGAGAAUCAGAAAUUCAAAAGCUUCCUAGCAAUUUCGAAGAGCAAACAUCAGAGAAGGGUUUGGUUGUGAAUUGGUGCCCUCAACUGCAAGUUUUGGCUCACAAGGCCGUUGGUUGCUUCAUGACACAUUGUGGGUGGAACUCUACACUUGAGGCAUUGAGCUCAGGGGUGCCAAUGGUGGCAAUUCCACAGUGGACUGACCAAUUGACAAAUGCUAAGUUUGUGGAAGAUGAAUGGAAAGUUGGAGUGAGGGUCAAGGUUGACCAAAUGGGAAUUGUCACUAAAGAAGAAAUAGAAAGAUGCAUAGCACAAGUCAUGGAAGGAGAGAGGGAAGGAGAUUAAAAGGAAUUCAAUGAGAUGGAGAGAAUUGGCUAAGGAGGCUGUGGCGGAAGGUGGAAGCUCUGAUAAGAACAUUGAGGAAUUUGUAGCAGCUCUCUUAUGUAAAUAAACUUUUAUGUUGUGAAACUAUUGAUUUGAACUACACAUUUAAAUAAGAAUCUACUAUUUGAUUCCA